CUAUUCUCUUCAAUUCCCCCUUCCUCCCUUUCCUACGAAGGCCUGGGUUAAGGGUGGUUUGCUAGAGUUAGGAUUUUCAGUUAUCAGGGUGUAGAAAAGAGGCACUUCUUCAUGGGGGUUGUUCAUGGUACCAGUGGAAAAUCCUGAAAGUGCAUUUGUUUAUGUCUACCUAAGUUAAAGUUCUAAAUUCUGAACGGAAUCCAACAAUCUAAUUGUUGCCUCUCUACUGCAAAGUAGGAAGAAAUGUCAUCUCUUUUGUUCUAGAGAUAAUUUUGUUAUCUAGAGAUAAUCUGUUAAUGUAGUCCAAUUUGCUUUCUUGGUAAUACAUCGCACCGUUGAUUCUUAUUAUACCCAUGGGAAAUAUCACCUCUAUGUCUUUUUUUAAAAGACUGCAAUUAAAGCCACAUAAGCCUGUCUUACGCUUAAGUAAGGUUUCUCCUUUCCUUUUUAACUUCUAUGUUGUGACUCAGAAUCUAUGCUCACAUGGAAUGCUGGUGGUUGACAAACAGGACUGUGUUCCCUAGCUACAAAAAACAGUAUCCGUAUUCCCGUUUUGAAGGGGCCAAAAAAGAGAAAUUGGUUGAUAAUGUUGAUAUGGGAGAACUGAAGACCCAGGGCUACAAAAAUUUCUCAAAGUACAGAAGUAGUAAAUGACAGAGCCUGGAAUGAAAGCAGGCAGGCUAAUAGCAGAGUUCAUUCUCCUAAAUCCUCCCUUCACAUUUUCAAGUAUUACUGUUAUAAUGAUUUUAUAAUUAUAAAAUUCAGGACUGCCUUGCCUA
rnacentral:lncRNA from 1 species